rnacentral:rRNA from 1 species
CCUACGGGGGGCUGCAGUGGGGAAUUUUGGACAAUGGAGGAAACUCUGAUCCAGCAAUACCGCGUGAGUGAAGAAGGCCUUCGGGUUGUAAAGCUCUUUUGUUGAAGAAAAAAUCUCGUGCAAACGAGGAUGAUGGUAUUCAAAGAAAAAGCACCGGCUAACUACGUGCCAGCAGCCGCGGUAAUA